AUGACGUUUUCGUCUUUUGAGCUUCUAGUCAUGAAAUCUAUGCAGCCUACUCACUCACUUUUUAUAGCUGCUGUUUACAGGCCUCCUGGGCCAUAUGCAGUGUUCCUCACUGAGUUCCCUGAAUUCCUAUCGGAUCUUGUAGUCAUAGCAGAUAAUAUUCAAAUUUUUGGUGACUUUAACAUUCACAUGGAAAAGUCCACAGACCCACUCCAAAAGGCUUUCGGAGCCAUCAUUGACUCAGUGGGUUUUGUCCAACAUGUCUCUGGACCUACUCACUGCCACAGUCAUACUCUGGACCUAGUUUUGUCCCAUGGAAUAAAUGUUGUGGAUCUUAAUGUUUUUCCUCAUAAUCCUGGACUAUCGGACCACCAUUUUAUUACGUUUGAAAUUGCAACAAAUAAUCUGCUCAGACCCCAACCAAGGAGCAUUAAAAGUCGUGCUAUAAAUUCUCAGACAAACCAAAGAUUCCUUGAUGCCCUUCCAGACUGCCUCUGCCUACCCAAGGAUGUCAGAGGACAAAAAUCAGUUAACCACCUAACCGAGGAACUCAAUUUAACCUUGCGCAAUACCCUAGAUGCAGUUGCACCCCUAAAAACUAAAAACAUCUGUCAUAAGAAACUAGCUCCCUGGUAUACAGAAAAUACACGAGCUCUGAAGCAAGCUUCCAGAAAAUUGGAACGGAAAUGGAGCAACACCCAACUGGAAGUCUUCCGACUAGCUUGGAAAGACAGUACCGUGCAGUAUCGAAGAGCCCUCACUGCUGCUCGAUCAUCCUAUUUUUCCAACUUAAUUGAGGAAAAUAAGAACAAUCCGAAAUGUCUUUUUGAUACUGUCGCAAAGCUAACUAAAAAGCAGCCUUCGCAAAUGGAGGAUGGCUUUCACUUCAGCAGUAAUAAAUUUAUGAACUUUGAGGAAAAGAUCAUGAUCAUUAGAAAGCAAAUUACAGACUCCUCUUUAAAUCUGGUUAUUCCUCCAAAGCUCCAUUGUCCUGAGUCUACACAACUCUGCCAGGACCUAGGAUCAAGGGAGAUACUAAAGUGUUUUAGUACUAUAUCUCUUGACACAAUGAUGAAAAUAAUCAUGGCCUCCAAACCCUCAAGCUGCAUACUGGACCCUAUUCCAACUAAACUACUGAAAGAGCUGCUUCCUGUGCUUGGCCCUCCUAUGUAG
rnacentral:lncRNA from 8 species